UGGACACUGUGGGGGCUAAAACUGAAGUAGAAAGACCCUGCCUGGACUGGGCGUUUGUGAAUGGGGCAUUGACAGGCAGUAGAUCCUAUAAGUCAGUUACGUACUAUGUGAACCACGACAUUUCCUGAAAUAUGUAGUAUUACCUCUUGACAGCAAGCUUGACCAUUAUCAUAUCCCCGAUUGUGUUGUACAAGCUCAGUAAUGCCCGUUAUCCUUCACUUUGUCCUGACUCGCUCACCCACAUGUAGUAAAUUUGCUUUCGGCCCUUGCAAACGCAUUUUAAUAUGACUCAAGUAUCAAUAUAUCUUGUUCAGCUCCAACCUUAACCUAUUUUUUUGCCUUGACGAACAAGCCAGGGUGAACAAAACAUUCUCAUUCUCAACUUCAGAGCAUCCAAUUAUAAUUUCACUCCAUGUUUGCGCAAGUGCCCGUUUGUCAGCAGCUGAGAGGACUAUCAAGUACUAAUUGACUCCUGAUUGAAGGCCUUCAAACACCUGCACUCCUAUAGCUCUUAUUCCGACGGCAAACAAAAUUAGCGUAAGCUGUUUAAUUAUCCAUUCAUCUACCCAUUUUCUACUCCGCUUAUACUCAUUAGGGUGAGUAUGUUAUUGAUACCGUUGGGCAAAGGUCCUUCAGUAAAAGGCCAGGGUGUGAUUGUCAGUGUGAGAAACCGUCUCUGGGACUGUGCAUCAUCGCAUUAGGAGCCUGCACACUGCCAAUUUUGGUGAAUCCAAACAUAAAUAGUCACCUGGAUAUAAUUUGACAUCUGCAAUGCAAUAAACUUACCUCUUGAGUUUUAGCCAUCCAUUUUCUGGACCGCUUGUCAUCCGCCGGGUGUAUUAUAAGAACAAAAUGGGGGAAAACGUGUGCUGGUUGUCACUGGUGCUCGGGAGAGGACUUGAAUUCAACGAUUCCCUGAGGUAUGUUCACGUACUUUUAAUACGAUACGGCUCGCAAGCAGGCAACAAGACGUUAUGUAGCCUAGCAAGCUGUGCUAGCACUAACGGUUGUACGUAAACAUGCCAGCGUUCUGUCGAAUCAUGCUCUAAAGUUUUGGUGUGUGUGAUUUAAUUGAAUUGAAUUACAAUGAAGUAAUUCAUUUACAGUAAGCUAGCACCCAUUAUUUCUGUCAUGUUGUAAUGUUGGUUUGACCUGACUGAUUAGAAUACAUGACCUAAAUAGAGAAUACUUUUGAAGAUACUCAGUAUAGUCUAUGAACAAGUCAUUUAAAUAGACACAUUGCUCCAUCUUGUGAUUGGCUCCAAAAAUCUUGAUCGCAAAAAGCCUAACUUCUAUAGCACUUGUCUUCAUUUGGACCAUUGUUGAACUCGAGCCUUUCCCAGGUUACUUUGAAAGAGAGUACCCCCUGGACUGGUCACCAGUUAAUUGCAAGGCACAUAUUGACAACCACCCAUUCAUACUCAAAUUUACAUUUAGAGUCACAUUUACAUUUAGAGUCUGCAAUGAACCUAGCAUGUAUGUUUAUGGUAUGUGGGAGGAAGUACCGAGAAAAUCCAUGCAAGAACGGGGAGAACAUGCAAACUCCACACAGGAGGGUCCGAGCUGUGAUGGCAAAACAGUAAAUUUUCUCAUACUUUACUUUUUAUUCCGAAUGGCUGGCAAACAUUCAGAUUUUCUCACUGUUUGUUUAUAAUCUGUAAUUUCAAGUCAAAUCUGAUGUGAUUAUGACUUUAUUUGAUUAAAAGACUAUCUAGCUCUCCACUAUGACCCCUUGGGAAAUUAUUAUUAACUGUAGAACCAGAACUGACCCCCUCCCACUGUUCUCCUGCAUGCCUGUAUGUGCGUACACAAGGGCGAUAAACACAUUGAUGCGGGCGGUGUCGGCUGGCGGCCAACAGCAGCACUUGCCAGGAAGCCGCAGACAAACAGCGCGGCUCGUAUGCAAACACAAAGACAGGCACAGGCCCAUAUGGGGGGUCUUAAUGGAAGCGAAUGCACAAUUAAAAGGGCUCAUUACAUCUUCACCUCAUAGUUCAGGCAUUUAGGCUCAUGAAUGCAAAGACAAAUUCUGUCACGCAAUAUUGAAAGACAAAAAAGUAUUGUGCCAAAAAGUGAGUGCUGGGAUCUAAAAAGCACCCUGGCUAAAUCGUAGAUUUUUAAGUGAUCGUUUUUACAACAUACAGCCAAGUCGGAAUUUAGAGUUGCGCACCUUUUGUGUAGUAAGAUGUUGUGCAGCAACAUGCCGGGCAGCCAAAUUAAAGACAAGAAGAAGAUGCGCAGGUCCCUCUACUAAGAUCCAGUAAUACUUCUUUUUACAGUAAACUUCAACUGAGAGUGAUAAACAACUUGAAGCAAGCACGAUUUGCCUCUUAUUUGGAGAACUGUGUAGAGCGAGAAAUUCUUCUUUCCGUUUCCUCAAAGUCCCACUUCUUGACUGAGAGAGUGAGAACAGUAAAAGCGGCACAAAACAGCCAAGGGAACAACGAAAACACACACAGAGUUCAUCUUUUGAUGCCGGCUGAAAUGAGGUCUACUGGGGCACUCUGAAGACAUUUCAACUUCAAGGUUCUAACAUCCUCUGGCAGAUUUGCAGUGACAGGAUUGUUGUGUGGGCAUGACAGGUAGCACGUCUCUUUCGCAAUCAGGCUACAGGUACGUUUGACAGGCAGGCAAUGAAAGGCACCCCCUACCUCAUCUAACCCCCUCAGUGCAGCUGGGAUUGACUAUGAGCGCUGGAUCUAAUCUUCUAGGCACGUAUUUCUUCACAACAAGACCUGACUGUGUCCAAGAUCAUCUGAUUCGAUGUCAUGGGAUUAAUUGACCUUUGGCUAACACAGACUGACCAAUCACAGCACAAGACCGAAAGGAAGUCUGACAUGUUUUGUUUUUUCUUGUUUUUGCAAAAUCCCAAACUAACCUUGAUAAAGCUAUAGCACUUGUCCAAAUAAUUUGAAUUGGUCAAUUUAUUAUAAUUAUUACUAUUAUCAAUAUUAUUAUUAUUAUAAUUAUAUAUUUAUGUAAUUUCUAUUAAACUAGGCGACUAUAAACAUUUUUGGGGGUAUAUCAAUUGCUCGUUUUUUUGCGGGGGUUUACUGUAAUACUAUACAGUUGUUAGUUUGUAAUCAAAAAUGCUAUCGUUGUGCUACUAAUGUAAGGCAUAGUUAGUAGUUACUGUCCUUACAUGCUCCCGGUAGCAAUGUUGGCCUGUUAAUUAAUUUUUUUUUUUUCAGUGGUAAUUUAAAGCCUGUGAGCUGCGAUUAACGGUCCCUCACACACCCUUUUUUUUAUGGCGUAUCUUUGAUCAUCAAAAUUCGCCCAUGUUGUAAGCAAAUGAGCUUCCCACUUUAGCAUUACCCCUCUGUCAGAUUCUUCUUACGACUGGGAGGCUUAUUUUGGCGAGGUCCCUAGUAGGAGCUUGUCAGAGAUCGAGCCCUGAAAUUCACCCAAAAUGGACUUUCCAGUUCACGUUUGGGCACUGACCCUUGAGACAUUUUCAUCUCUCUUUGUUACGAUAGACAUGCCCACCAAAUUUCGUGUUGACUGAUGAACUAAUUUCAGGAGCUUCUUUUUUCUAACUUUCCAUGGGGCGCUACUCUGUUUGGGGGGGGGAGACAUGCUGUUAACAUGUGUUUGAGACAUGCUUUUAUCCUUUCACCAGGAUAAAAGCAUGUGCAAAGUUUGGUGAGAGCUGUUUGUCUUAAUCCCUAAAAAGAGCAUUAAACAGCUGCAGCUCAUUCAGAAUGCUGCAGCUCGGUUUCUGACCAGAACAAAGAGGUCAGAGCAUAUUGCUCCAAUUCUAAAGUCUUUACGCUGGAUUCCAGUCAGCUUUAGAAUAGAUUUUACAGUUCUGCUACUGGUCUAUAAAUCACUAAACGAUUUAGGUCCUGAAUACAUGAAUGAAAUGCUAAUGGCAUAUCAACUCAGUAGUGCUCUGAGAUCGACAAACUCAGGUAAAAUAGUGGAGCACGGAGUCCAAAGCAAACAUGGUGAAGCAGCAUUUAGCUAUUAUGCUGCACACAAAUGCAAUAAGUUGCCAACAGAAGUGAGAUCGGCCCCAAGGGUGUUUUUAAGUCCAGGUUAAAAACGCUUUUUAGAGCAUUUCCACUUUUAAAUGCUAUUUCUUGCACUGUAUGCUGUUUUAAUUGUAUUUUUUCCAUUUGUUUUAAAUGUUAAUAAGCUGUUUUUUUUCUUUGUUUUUAAAUGCUUUUAAUCAUGUAAAGCACACUGAGUUAACUUGUGUAUGAAAUGCGCUAUAUAAAUAAAUGUGCUUUGCUUAAUCUUUAUUUGUUUCAGUUUGAUAUGGUGGAUGUAACAUUCAAAGGGCAUUUUGCACAGCCUGCUGUCCGCUUCUGUUGGAAAUGUCGCCGUUUAUUAACUUUGACUGCUUUUGACUAACUAUUUGCGCUUUUAGAAAAUGAAACAAUUGGUGGAGAUUGGCUUUCCGAAGAACUUUUUGUCCACUGUCUAAUUUCUGGCCCGCUGCGAAAGAACGGAAUGAGAGGAACGAGACAUGGGAAUACCAUGUGGGACUGCACAUCUGUCCUGAAGACAUAAACAGGUCCGGCCUUGUCAAGAAGACAAUGAACAAAAGUGGAUGAUUGAGAGCGACUGGAGUUUUCAACAACAACACGAUCCACUAACUUUCCAAACAAGAUUGUAGCCAUUUAUCAGACAAGGAACCUGAAGCGGGGUACUUCACACAUACUGAUUUUUAACAUCUUAACCAAUUUUUACAAUGUGAUGUCAUUGUAAAAAUCGUGCAAAGAAAACAAAUCAAGUGUGUUCGUUGUAGUGUUCGGUGUGCUCGAUUAAAAAAUCAGGACAUGCCAAACGAUACAGUCAUACACAGCUGGCUUUUCUUCUCCACCGCUCAAUUGGCUGGAUCUUGUUGAUCACUUGGCCCCGAUGCAAGCAGACAAUGCAUAAAGUGAAAAUAAAUUCUUCACUCACAAAAUAUUUAUUGGGUUAUUCUUCCCGACUUAAUCUUUCUAGAUAACUAACGAAUAAAUAUGAGCUCUUGCCAAACACGUUUAAUACUUGGCUGAGGUAAUAUAAAACAUCUGCACAACUUUUAUGGGAUGCAAGUUUUAAAAGUCAAAGUUAAUCGUCAAGCUGUGUAGAGAUUAUCACACAAAAAUCCACUCGCAGGGCAACAAUCAACAUUUAUCAAGUGUCAGCCGCAUCUUGCGAAUUCCCUGAAAGAUGAUGAUGUGCAUGUUUAUCCCGUCUUCUUACCUUGAUGGAAAUUGUGAGCUUUUACUAGUGGAGAUUUUUUUCCCCUUGAGCUCUGGAUCGUAUCAGCCACCUACAUUUAUUGUUGUAUUGAAUCGUGCACAUGGGGUUUCAUUAUAGAUAAGGUGCUUCUUCGUGUGCUGGAGGGAUU